UGGGGAAUAUUGCACAAUGGGCGCAAGCCUGAUGCAGCCAUGCCGCGUGUAUGAAGAAGGCCUUCGGGUUGUAAAGUACUUUCAGCGGGGAGGAAGGGAGUAAAGUUAAUACCUUUGCUCAUUGACGUUACCCGCAGAAGAAGCACCGGCUAACUCCGUGCCAGCAGCCGCGGUAAUACGGAGGGUGCAAGCGUUAAUCGGAAUUACUGGGCGUAAAGCGCACGCAGGCGGUUUGUUAAGUCAGAUGUGAAAUCCCCGGGCUCAACCUGGGAACUGCAUUUGAUACCGGCAAGCUUGAGUCUCGUAGAGGGGGGUAGAAUUCCAGGUGUAGCGGUGAAAUGCGGAGAGAUCUGGAGGAAUACCGGUGGCGAAGGCGGGCCCCUGGACGGAGACUGACGCUCAGGUGGGAAAGGGUGGGGAGCAAACAGG
rnacentral:rRNA from 1 species